ACGGCUCAGUAACACGUGGAUAACCUGCCCUUGGGUCCGGCAUAACCCCGGGAAACUGGGGAUAAUUCCGGAUAACGCAUAUGUGCUGGAAUGCUUUAUGCGUCAAAUGGAUUCGUCUGCCCAAGGAUGGGUCUGCGGCCUAUCAGGUAGUAGUGGGUGUAAUGUACCUACUAGCCGACAACGGGUACGGGUUGUGAGAGCAAGAGCCCGGAGAUGGAUUCUGAGACAUGAAUCCAGGCCCUACGGGGCGCAGCAGGCGCGAAAACUUUACAAUGCGGGAAACCGUGAUAAGGGGACACCGAGUGUCAGCAUCAUAUGCUGGCUGUCCAGGUGUGUAAAAUACACCUGUUAGCAAGGGCCGGGCAAGACCGGUGCCAGCCGCCGCGGUAACACCGGCGGCCCGAGUGGUGAUCGUGAUUAUUGGGUCUAAAGGGUCCGUAGCCGGUUUGGUCAGUCCUCCGGGAAAUCUGAUAGCUCAACUAUUAGGCUAUCGGGGGAUACUGCCAGACUUGGAACCGGGAGAGGUAAGAGGUACUACAGGGGUAGGAGUGAAAUCUUGUAAUCCCUGUGGGACCACCUGUGGCGAAGGCGUCUUACCAGAACGGGUUCGACGGUGAGGGACGAAAGCUGGGGGCACGAACCGGAUUAGAUACCCGGGUAGUCCCAGCCGUAAACGAUGCUCGCUAGGUGUCAGGCAUGGCGCGACCGUGUCUGGUGCCGCAGGGAAGCCGUGAAGCGAGCCACCUGGGAAGUACGGCCGCAAGGCUGAAACUUAAAGGAAUUGGCGGGGGAGCAC
rnacentral:rRNA from 1 species